UUCUCAGAGAGAACAUGUGUAAGGACCUGCCUCUCCUUCUAACUCAAGAAAGUAAAAACUAUUGAAACUGAAUAUUUUAAAAGGAACCUUUUAUUGAGCAGAAGUGAAAACAGGACAAAGGCAAAGCAGAC